rnacentral:ncRNA from 1 species
GGUGUCUGUGCUACGGGCACAGCCGAACAAGGAACGGGGUGCAAAGCCCCGGCGGGCACGCCGCCGUAACGGGGGAGGCGCGCGUCAAAGGCCACUGCGCAAGCGGGAAGGCGGCGCGCGGCGGAAACUCCGGAGCCGGAAGACUUACCUGAGAAG